UACAGAGGGUGCGAGCGUUAUUCGGAAUUACUGGGCGUAAAGCGUGCGUAGGCGGUAAUGUAAGUCAGAUGUGAAAGCCCCGGGCUCAACCUGGGAAUUGCAUUUGAGACUGCAUUGCUUGGGUGCGGAAGAGGGAAGCGGAAUUUCCGGUGUAGCGGUGAAAUGCGUAGAUAUCGGAAGGAACACCAGUGGCGAAGGCAGCCUUCUGGGCCAACACUGACGCUCAUGCACGAAAGCGUGGGGAGCAAACAGG
rnacentral:rRNA from 1 species